AUGAUCUCUCCUGUAUUAUUUUCCAGGAUGUCCAGAGGCUGGCAGUGGGAAGACAGGUGUGGAUUAGUUGGGAUGCAUGUUGGAUGACUUCUCCUGUAUUAUUUUCCAGGAUGUCCAGAGGCUGACAGUGGGAAGAUGGGUUAGAUGGUGUCUCCUGCAUUCCUUUCCCCAGUUUUCCAGAGGCUGGCAGUGGGAAGACGGGUAUGGAUUAGUUGGGAUGUGAGUUGUAUGAUCUCUCCUGUAUUUUCCAGGAUGUCCAGAGGCUGACAAUAGGAAGACAGGUAUGAAUCAGUUGGGAUGCAUGUUGGAUGACCUCUCCUGUAUUAUUUUCCAGGAUGUCCAGAGGCUGACAGUGGGAAGACAGGUAUGGAUUAGUUGGGAUGUGGGUUGUAUGAUCUCUCCUGUGUUCUUUUCCCCAGUUUUCCAGGAUGUCCAGAGGCUGACAGUGGGAAGACAGGUAUGGAUUAGUUGGGAUGUAGGUUGUAUGAUCUCUCCUGUGUUCUUUUCCCCAGUUUUCCAGGAUGUCCAGAGGCUGACAGUGGGAAGACAGGUGUGGACGGGGAGUUGGGAGGGAGGGAUCAGCCAGGAAGGAGACGGGUCAUAAACACGGGCACUGAUGUGGGUCUCCUCCACAAGUCCCAUCCAGCAAGCACAGGUUGUGCAGCACAUUUCACCCAGAACUGUUCAACAUCUGUGUGCUGAGCUGACAAGUAAGUAGUGUUUGUGGGUAGAACAGUCUUGAAAUCGAGCUGUUGAAUUCUGUUCACCUGCACUCGUUCAGAUCACAAACACAGCCUGUGACACAGCAUGUCCUCCAGAAAUAUAAGACCUGCAGGAAUGUCUCUCAUGUGUGAUCUUCCAUAGAAUAACCACCAGUGGAAAUGGAAUACUCUUGCAAGACUUGAAAACAAAGGAGUGUAUUUUAUUUGGUUGGCAGAAUGCUUUUCUGCUGUUCUUGGGGGAAAAAGCAUCUUAAAAACAUGUUGCUGUACUGUAUAUGUCUGUUUCGUGUAUCUAACGUGAACCUAGUAGCACAAAUCUCCUGGUUUAGAGCAUGUUUGCAGUGCAAGAGGGCUGCUUUUGCGUCUGUUUUGUUGCCUCGUUCUGAAAUGCUGGCAGUAUGGUGUUGCACAUUGAAACUUCAUCGCUGUUGCGAUGUGGAGGCUGCAUAUUCGCUAGUUUCAUUGUGGUUUUAAACGUACUCAUCCUUCCUGAUUCAGUAUAACUUUGGAAAGUUGUUGCUGUUACAGUAACAUCUCUAUGAUGAAGACUCACCUGUACUGAGCUUUAAUUCUCAGACGUGUACUGAGCUCUUCACCUGCACAGUUAAAACACUCAGACUUGUUCACUGAGCUCUCACCUUUAUUGUAAUACUGAAGUCUCACGUGCACUUUUGUAAUUUCAGAAGUAUGUGCCUGUCCUAUUGUACUGUAUUUCCCAGAGCGGUGUGCUGGACUCUGCCUGUUCUGUUCUAAUACUCAAACAGGGAGACUGAACUUACCUCUUCUGUUAUGAUCAGAACUAUGCAGUGAACUCUGCCUGCUGUAGUGAAUUCUGUACCUGUACCAUUGUAUCCCUCUACCUUACAUAGUGAACUCUGUACCUGUACUGUUGUAAUACUGUGACCUGUCCUGAACCCUGUACCAAUGUACCCCUCUACCUUGUGUCCUGAACUCUGUACCUGUACUGUUGUAAUACUGUGAUGUGUGCCUUGAAGUCUACCUGUGCCAUUGAAUACUGAACUUUGUAUCUGUACUGCUGUAAUACUGUAAUCUGUGUCCGGAUCUUUGUACCUUUACCAUUGUACCCUUUUGCCUUGUGUACUGAACUCUGUACCUGUACUGUUGUAAUACUGUGAUGUGUGCCUUGAGCUCUGUACCUGUGCCAUUGAAUACUGAACUUUGUAUCUACUGUUGUAAUACUGUAAUCUGUGGCUGGAUCUUUAUACCUGUACCAUUGUACCCCUCUGCCUUGUGUACUGAACUCUGUACCUGUACUGUUGUAAUACUGUGAUCUGUCCUGAACCCUGUACCAUUGUACCUCUCUGCCUUGUGUACUGACCUCUGUACCUGUACUGUUGUAAUACUGUGACGUGUGUCCUGAACGCUGUACCAUUGUACCCCUCUGCCUUGUGUACUGAACUUUGUACCUGUACUGUUGUAACACUGUACUCUAAAUACCCCUGUCUUGUAUCCUGAACUCUGUACCUGUACUGUUGUAGUACUGUGACCUGUGUCCUGAACUCUGUACCUGUGCCAUUGUACCCCUCUUCCUUGUGGCCUGAGCACUGUACCUACUCUGUUGUAAUAGUGGCCUGUGCUGAUGUAGUAGGGUGACCUGUGUCCUGAACUCUGUACCUGUGCUGUUGGAGUAGGGUGACCUGUGUCCUGAACUCUGUACCUGUGCUGUUGUAGUAGGGUGACCUGUGUCCUAACCUUUCGUUCUAUUGUAACACUAGAAGUCUCCUGUUGAACUCCUGUACUGUUGUGUAAUAUUCUCUUUAUUGUGGUAACAGUGCGCUUCCCCCUGUACGUUUGUACUAGUUUGAUCUGUACUCAAACCUGUAACUGAAUAAGUUCUUUCUCUUCUGAACUCUCCUGUAAUGCCUACACCCUGCCUUAUUCCUAAGGUAAACAGCAGGUUCUACUCUGCUGGAAGAGUCAGUUUGCUGCUACCCUGACACCUGUACUGUUCCAAUCUCCCUCCGACUGUUGCAACUGUCCUGUUCUUUUCUGAUCACUCUGUAGAGCUCGCUGCGGUACUGUACUAGGUUUCUGACCACACGCUGGCCUGUCCCACGUUCUGUCCUGUAGAUCCAGGAGGGGUGGUCCUGACAAACUGGUCCCCUGUGGCUGAACCCCCCCCCCCCUGCAGCUGCGUCAGGGUCCAGACCUGUCUGCUCAGCUCUCGCCUGUGUUCUGCUGGAAUGGCUGAAGGUGGGUGCUGGGGUCUUGCUUCUCCUGUGCUUCAGAGUUUAAAUACUAACACUUCUGUCCUCAACACACAUGGCUGCCUGUCUUUCUGGAUUUGCUGUGUCUGCGUCUCUCUCUCUUCUUGGUCUCCCUGGGUAACGGCCGGCUCUCCCAGUCCAGCAGGAGUUGUGGCCGAGCUGCGGGCCUGUGUGGAGCUGGGUGCUGGGCACGAACGCAGCGCCCGCGGGCCUGGGAUGGGUGGAACCGGUCCUGUGGGUGGGUGGGUGGGGGGAGAGGAGUAGAGAGUACUGACCCAGGGCCCGGCUGUGCUCACCGGUGAGACCGGUUCGGCAGCAGCUGCUCCCUGUUGAAGAGCAGAGAGCCCGGAUCCCACCCCAGUGCCGGACCGUCGCCCUGGGGCCCGAGGUCUUGUGGGCUGGGCUCCGGUCCCUCUUCCUCGCCGCGCUCGUGGAGUCGGAGGGGCUGUUUCCGUUUCGAUUUGCUGCUUCGUGUUGCUGAGGAAGUGGAGUGAGCCGAGCCGUAGUAACGGUCUCUCUCCAGCAGAGGGCAGUGUGUGUUUCUGGGUGUGGCUGCCUGUUCUCUAGCACAAGCGUGGUCUGUGCGCUGUGUGUGUGUAUUGCACCACCUCUGAGCUGGUUCCAGACCAGGCUGUACAGAUUGGUGUGAUGAAAUAUGGGGGCAAUAGCCGUGUCUAUGACAGGAACAAGUAUGAGGUUUAUUCCCAGGGAAGAAAGAAACCUGUUUCAGCUGUGGAGCCCUCUUCAGGUGUGUGAGGCUAUAGUGUCGCACAUGUGGCGUCGCACACUGAGAGUGUCUAUAAUAGAUGGAUAAAGAGAUGUGGUCUCCACCCUCUCUUUCACUCUAACUGGGACAGUGCUGCUGCAGGUCCCCUUGAACUACAUUUCCCAGCAGGCCUUGGGGGGGAAUAAUGGUGGCCAAUAGGAUGCCUCCCCUGGGUUGAUAAGGCACAGGUGCCGUCCGUUCAAGCCUGCAGCCAGUGUAUAGAACGAGGGGGUGGGAGAGUGGAGGGGAGAGGUACUAGUUCACUCUUUGUGUGGGGCUGUCUGUGAUGAAGGGAGAGGGAUGAACACGCUGGGCUGUUCUCAAUAAAAGGCGAGCUGUCCUGCUGUCUCCUGUUCCAUUCUUUGGAGUCUGUGUUAAUGUUUCAGGCCCAGCUGCAGGAAGUUUUUAUAGAGUUUGCUUCCUUGUGAAUCUCCAGCUCUUUGUGCAGCUCUGGUCAGAACUACAUUACCCAGGAGGACCUGCUGGCUCCAGUCAGGUGACCAGGUGGGGGACUUGUGAUUGGUCAGGAGCUGACAGACUCCUCCACAGGCCCCAGCCCCUGCUCUCCUCUCCCUCAGCGGAAGGGCAGGAGGAGCUGCUUGUGUAACUCUAGGGCCACAGGGACGAGGAGGAAGAGGGGGUGCUCCUGGGUGGUGGCGAGCUGGCGAGGAAGGCCCCUAUCCGCUGGGGUAGUGGGGUGUCUGGCUGACCAGCAGUUCUUCCACCUGUUUCAACUCAGAGAGUACAGGACGACUGUCCCUGCCCCUGUCCCUGCCCCAGCAUCCAGCUCAUCUGACCCCCCACCCACCUCCAACCCCAGCCCAGCUGGUCAGCUCUCAGGACAGACACUCACAGCCACAAGGUA
ensembl:lincRNA